CCCCCACGCACGCGACCUCCUCUCGUUCCACAAGCCAACGCAACCGCCGCCUCCUCGCCUCCGCCUCUUUCUCCGGGGGCCUUGCAGCUGCAGCGGGAUGGGAGUCAAGGGGGCGAGCGGGAUGGGCGGCCAGCUGGUUUCUUCGCCAGAUCUGCAGCCCAGGGGCGACUCCGGACCGGGGAGUGGCGGCAGUGGCCAGGCCUAGUGGUGACGGGACAAUGAAGUGGUCGGAGGCGCUGCAUCGGCGGCAAGUUGGUCUGCAACGACAGCAAGACGAGGGAGAUCGUGCACCCGCGGUGCCAAAGCUCAAGGGCCAUUAGGGAGCUGAACUCAGAUGUAUCCACCGUGCAGGACAAUGCCUUGGAGCUCCUGCUAUGUGGCUGUGGUUCUGGUCUUCUUUCCUGUACUUAAAUCUCGUGUUUGUUCGAUCUUAUAGGCUUCUUCAUAUUUUGCAUAUUCAUCAAGACGUGGCAGUCUACUCUGCUAUUUUGGCUAUCAUGGUCAAAAUAGCAGUAUGGAAUAAAUGAGACUUCCGGUCAAGCUACUGAUAUUAAGGUGUUCUUAUGUUUUUUUGGUGGGCUUUCAAGCCACUUGUGUUUGCAUUUUGUCCAAAACUCAUGAAGAUUGAAGGAUCUUCAGAAGAAUAACCGGCAUAGCAUAUGGGUGCACGUGUGGAGCCAGUUCAGAGCAUACGUAGUAGUAGCAGUCUCAAGGUAAUGCAUUACAGGGCAUGUACAAUUUUGAAAUUGUAAAAUUCCACUAUGGCACUAAGGUGCUGUCUUUUGCUCUCCUCCCUGCAAAUCUAUGCUUAUUUCCUGAUAUAUAUGUAGCUUCUUAUAUAAUUAAUAGACUGUAUUAUGAGUGUAUUCGUGUUCUAAAAUCAACAAUGGUGGUAUCUUGGUAGAACUAAUGCAUUUCCUUAUGAUUUACUAUCCUGACUUAAAAGAUAUUGACUGAUUUUACAGCUGCUGUGCACAUAAUACGCUGCUAUAUGUUUCGUAGUAUUAUCCUUCUAAGAACAAGUACCGGCGCUCUGUUUUGCUAAUCCAAAAGGUGCAGCUUGUUAUUGUCCUUCAACUAUGCUUCCAGCAUAUAUGUGUUUUAACUUCUUGAUCCUUGUUUUGCUAUGCUUAACCUUUCAUACCCAGCUUCUUGGAUAAACUAAUUGUAGAAUUUCUUACCUUUGCCAUGCCUUGCUUUGCAUGCUUCAAGAAGCUUUUCAGAAUAUUCAGUUAAUUGUGCUGGUUGUUCAUAUCCUUAGCUGUUUUGCAGCUUAUCUGUCAAGUAGGUUUUACACUUUCGACAACUGGGAUAAUCAUGCUGCAAUUGCAUGCCAUGCUACUUCUAUAUUGCCGUGCUCUGAAAUAUAUUUUCAAAGGCAUAACCGAUUGGUAAAAAUAUACAGCUUGAGAUACUUUCAGUUUAGUUCAUAUCAUAUAUGAUUUUAGUUUGUCGCACGGUAUUUUUUUUUUUUUAAAUAUUAGCUAUCAAGGCAAGGAUAAGACAUCAGGACAAAGAAGAGUUACCCUAUGCGUUUUUGGUGAUGUUGCAGAACACUCUUGAGAAGCGACAGCUAGGUAUUAUGACGCAUAUCUUCCUUCUCUGUUCAAAGCUUGCACAAGUGAAAACCCUGAUGUUAUACAAUGUGGAGUACAAUGGCUCCUACGGCUCGGCUUCGCGGCCGGGAUCAGGCAUCGCUGGAUCGGUGGCACCAAAGGUGGGUUGUGGAAGACUGCAUCGGGGAGCAUCGAGCCAUCGACCGAACAAGGUCUUAGAGUCGUUUAUGAUCCCGUAGGCCUCCGACAACAUCAAUAAUAAGGAUAGGAGUUGUCUGCUUCAUAUCGCCUCUGUCUCCACCCACGUUUCAGUUUGCAGGACGUGUUUGAGGGUGGCUUCUGCUUGUUCAUGAAGGCAACUAAGAAGGAGAAUUUGAUUAAAUUUCUUGAAGGAAAGAAAGAUUUUAUUUUCAGGCAGAGUGCUAGCUACCUUUCAAACAUGGAAGCUUAGGAAAAAGCAUGUAAACCGAAGACAGGAAGCUUACCUGUUCGAUUCAGCAGAUUUGGUUUGCUCUAUUUGUUAAGAUCUUUCUCUGCUGCACGAGAACUUAAAGAUGUAACAUCAAUGUGGUGGGCAUAGAUCAGAAAGGCAAGUUCUUGUCAAAGGAAAUCUUCACCUACGUAAAGGUAACCUCAAUAGCCUCUCUUAAAUUUUGCAACAGGCAGCCGUUGCUGUAGCAUGGAGCUCUAGAGUAGUUAGUCUAGAUUCAACUCUAGAGUAGUUAGUCUAGAUUCAACUGAGUUACAAGUGCACAUUUGUCCAGUUAUUGCUACCUUUUUUUGGAAGAUUUUAGACUUACUAUCCUGUGUUAAUUUAAGGACUGGCUAAGUUUUGUUGUUCGUUCCCGUUCUCGGGUGCUGUCCGGUGGGUCAGUUGCGCUCUUCAGCGCCUUCGUCUUUGUUGUCUCCUACACCUUUGCCUACACCCUCACCCACUACCACGGCUCCCGCAGCAAGGUAACAGGUCUCUGCCUCGCCCGAUCUCCUUCGCCAGUUUAUAUGCAGAUGGACGGCUGCAUGAACAGAAAGACAAUGGUGUCCGGGCUUUGUUGCAUUGCGUUACAGGACGAGAACCUCUUUUAUUUCAUUUCCAGUUUCACUUUUUUUAGAACAUUUCCAGUUUCACUCUGCCUCUCUUUUUUACUUGGCUGGACUAAAGCAAAGUAGCAACAUUUACGUAAACAGAACCGGGUGUUUUCUGCUUUCUUGUUCCUCCAUUGUCUUCUGCUGGUGUGUUGCCUUCACUCGUAUCUCCAAAAGCAAUUUACUGCCCCUCCAAUUCCAUGGAAACUAAUGGUGGAUCUUAUCUACCACCAGUAAAAAUCAAACCCCAAUACUAACUGGUGACCAUAAUUUCCAUUUUCCCCUUCUAUAAGCCCCAUAUCAAUCUCAUUUCUGAACCCUGGUCAUGGGCUUGACCAACAAAAUAUAUGUUAUAUGCCUACAAAAUGUAUCAUCGGAAACUUCUUUCCCAUAUAAAUAUAAUGGUAUACUUUUUCCGUACAAUAUAUACUUUGUUGUUCAAAUCGAGGCUUUCUACCUAUCGUCAGUCCUGCACCAAGGACUAGGCUAGAAAAGUUACAUCCUUUUGAUGUUCUUAUCUUGGCAUGAUGCAAGGCAAAACCAAAAGGGAGAGGUUAUAUUAUUGGCCAUAUUUACUUUGGUUAUUAGUUGAGCACAUCUGGAGCAUCUUUCCAUUGUUGCCUGCCUUUCCAUUGUUAAGAUGCUGGAGGAGACUAACCGUACUACCGAUGAUAACACGCUUCUUGCUUUGGGUUUGUUUACUUGCCACAUAUGGCAUCAUAAUUAGAUGCAUUAGUAUUUUAUUGCUGCCAAAUGUCGUUGGUACUAAUUCUGGAUUAUUUCAGUCCAGUUCGAGGCUGGCUGCAGCCACGACAUCGACGGCAUCCAUAACAAUCGCGGAUCCUUCGACAUCUGGAUUGACCGCUGCUCCGUCGUCGACUACGACGACGGGCUCAUCGACAUCAUGCGCCAGAGCAUCUACAUUGCUUGUCUCCAGGUCGUUCCCUUCUCUGUUAUUUGUCCCUGCUACUAAGUCACUCACAUGCUUGGUUUCUCUCAACAAGUAUCGUUGAUUAGAUGGGAUCACUGUGUUGUCUGAUGAAAAUAAACGUGUGUGUAUGUGAUUGCAUUUUUUGCAUGAUUGAUAUAUAAUGGUUGCUCCAAUGUACACUGGGUAUGCAUGUAUUCUCCACGAACUUAGAAUUGGCACUCUCUUUUAGACCAGCUCUUCAUUCUUGUAUUUAAGUUGGUACUAAAUCUGGAAGAGGUUUAUUGUAGGUUGAUGUCUUUUCCAUCUCAUAUUUUUCAUCCAUGUAAUACGAACAAAUGCACAUGAUAAAGAGGAGAAUCUUUUCAUGAGCUUCACCAGCCAUUGUACAGAAUAUACAAUGCUGUUUUCUUAUGCAUUUUAAUUACAUUUACAGCUGUAAGUUUGUGAUGAUACAAACGGAAGUUGCAUACAGAGUUUCUUAUAUAUACUAUUGUUCUAUCCAUGCUUAACAUAUAAAAAUUUCUGUUCUGUUCAUACUACUUAACAGUCAGCAGUUUAGUCAUCUUACAAAAGUAGACUGUACAUACUCAAAUCAUCAACUAGACACCAGAAAUAUUGACUUCUCUUUGCUCUUUCAUCAGCCAUUUUACUUUAGCAUUCAUAAAUUUGGGUCCUCAAGACAUGUACUCAAUAACAUUACUUUGCUAUCACCAUUAAUAUCAUUAAUAUCCAUAGAACACGCUCUUAUCUUCCAUAUCACACAACAAUUUCUGUCCAUGUAAAUAACUUGCUUUCUUCUACCAGUAUUUUCAGUUUAACUAUACUGAAGAGAACCUAUUGGACUACAUUGAUCCAAACAAUGAUAUACACUCAUGGUCAGACUUGCAGAUGGCAAUCUGCUCGCUGAAUGUCGCAUCAUGCUAGGAACUGAUAAGAGGGCCACUAUAACCACCAACUGGUUUGAGUUUCGCUGCUGCGCCAACAUUCGCGAAGGAGACAUUUGUGUAUUUCAUUUCAGGAUCACUUUAAAGUGCCGCUUUGUUUUAAAGUGCCGCUUUGUUUUAAAGUGCCGCUUUGUUGUCACCAUGCACUGCCUCUGGAUGCACCAUCGAAGACGUUGCCGCCUCUGUGUCAAUAUAAUCUAAUAUAAUGUACCACUAAGCACUCUUAAUUAUGCUAUAUAUUGUGAUAACCUAUGGUUUACUUU